rnacentral:rRNA from 1 species
CCUACGGGUGGCAGCAGUGGGGAAUAUUGGUCAAUGGACGGGACUCUGAACCAGCGACGCCGCGUGAGUGAAGAAGUAUUUCGGUGUGGUAAGCUCUAUCAGCAGGGGAGAAAAUGACGUUACCUGACUAAGAAGCUCCGGCUAACUACGUGCCAGCAGCCGCGGUAAUACGUAGGGGGCCAGCGUUAUCCGGAUUUACUGGGUGUAAAGGGAGCGUAGACGGUGUAGCAAGUCUGAUGGGAAAGGUCGCGGUCCAACCCUGAGAUUGCAUUGGAAACUGGUGAACUGGAGUACAGGAGAGGUAAGCGGAAUUCCUAGUGUAGCGGUGAAAUGCGUAGAUAUUAGGAGGAACACCAGUGGCGAAGGCGGCUGACUGGACUGUAACUGACGUUGAGGCUCGAAAGCGUGGGUAGCAAACAGGAUUAGAUACCCGGGUAGUC